ensembl:lncRNA
ACAUGUGGGAGUCAUAUACCCCCCAGGGGUGACCAUCGUUUCUCACCAAGUUCACUUCAGCUGCAGACAAAUGGCGCAAUGAUUCAAAGAGGGCACGUUGACACAGCCAGGGACUCACGCGCAAUAACAUGCACGCGCGGCCCGCCCGACACAGUGAGCCUUCACUCUCUGCUCAGGGGUCUUUGAAUCAUGGGAGUUGUUGUCUUCAUCACCAUUGCCAUCAUUGCAGUCCGCUUCUACCGGUCCGGAUUCCUUCAUCGUUCAUCGUUCAGGAGGUUUUUACCAGGAGCCGAAUAAUCCACAGAGGUCUCCUCCUCUCCAAAACAAACAGACCAGGAGACCAGACGAAACGCAUCGUUACCCGGAUUACAAUGGCACAUUUCUCUGGGUUUGAAAAUUGUUGGAAAUAUUUGGCAUAAUGUUAGUACACAGCUCAUCACAAUAUAUAAAUUAGAGAUAUUAAUUGUUUUUACACAUGAAUGUAACAUAUUUGACUUAUAAUUAGCUGACAACACUUACUUUUAGUAAAGUAAAAUAUUAAUGCAGGUCACCUUUUUACUGGGGUAUUUCUACAAUGUGUUAUUACUUUUACUUACUAUAUCCCAUACCCUAUUCUGUAUUCUCUGUUUUGGAUAUCUGUGUUUUGUUCUGUGUAUUGUGUGUCUUUUUGAAAGUAUGUUAUGUAUAUAUUUUACGAUUAAUUUACGUAUCCAAACUUGCAAAACAAAUUGGGAAUUGAAUCACUUUCUGCAUCCAUGGCAGCUGUACACAUGACAUGCGUUAGUGAUGCCUCAUCUUCACAGGCCACCAGGCUGACAUUCUAUUGCCAAAGGCUAAUUAGAAAAAGUGCUGUGACUAAUUUAAGUAAAGUUGUUUUCCAAAGAUGGAGGUGGUAGGAUACAGUAUCUAGUCCUUAGAAGCUAAAAUAUUAAAUUAAGAACUCUGAUCAAAAUUGCGCAUCAGCAGGCUGGACCUCACUCAUGAAAUGUUAGACAAAUGACAGAUUCAAGACGAUAGAAGUUACAUGAAGCUAAUGUGUUGGGUGAUAAAAUGUUUUCCACACAAAGAGGGGAAAUAUCACAAACUGCCUGAUGGCUACUUAAAGCGGCUAAUUUAGGGUCAGAGCAUAAUUUAAGGGUUACAAUUAGGAUUAUGUUUAGGUUAGUGUGAGUUAAGAUUAAAGGUUAAGGAAUUAAGAUACUCAGUAAAGGCCCUCACACACACUGCAAUAUGUAUAUGUCUGUGUGUGUGAGCGGGUGAUGGAGGGUAGAGAUGGGCUUAGGAUGUUGGGGGUGGGGUAUUGGUGAUGAAUGAUUACAAACAAAGCCUCUUGAGCUGAUAAAGUGAAGGCACAAAAGAAGUGGGUCACAGCCUGCUGGUCCACUGUCGCCUAGCUUCGGGGGCCGAGGGGCCACGCACUACCUAAAGGGUGAUUUCCUCAGUGCACAUCAAAACCUCGCUGCUUUGAUAAACCGCUAAGCUGAAUGCAUUUAGCAGCCCCCAUCAUCCUUAUUAGUGUAAUGGUGCUGAGUUGAUUAAAAAAUACAAGGAAAAAACAACAAGAAGCUUUGUACUAUAUAAAGUAUUACACACUAUAUUACAGCCAGUGACUUAUACGUUAUUAUUAAAAGGAUUUAUGAUGACCACAGCAGAAAUAAACCAGGUUGAACCACAAACAACUUUAUUUCUCAACCUUGGUUACCGAUGUUGUGCUUUUCAUCCUCACAAGUAUCCUGUUCUGUUGCUUUAUAUGUAUUAUAUAACUUUAAUUUCAUUUAAUUGAUCCUUCUUAUUCUUGUGUCGUGUUAUUUCGUUUAUUCUUGAAAAUGAAUAAUAAAAACAUAAGAAACAAUAUGUAAUGGAACAUACGAUUGUUUGGUAAAUAAAAUAAAUGUUUGACACUGUUGGAAAUGUAGCUUAUAAUCAUUAGUGUUAAUAAAUAGACAGUCCAGCACAUUGCCUUGCAUCUUUGUAUUGAGAGAAA